rnacentral:misc_RNA from 1 species
GAAAUGCGAUAAGUAAUGUGAAUUGCAGAAUUCAGUGAAUCAUCGAAUCUUUGAACGCACCUUGCGCUCCUUGGUAUUCCGAGGAGCAUGCCUGUUUGAGUGUCAUGAAAUUCUCAACCCUUCUAGCUUUUUCGAAAGCUAGGUGGGCUUGGAUUGUGGAGGUUGCUGGUUCUUGCAAAUCAGCUCUUCUUAAAUAUAUUAGCAGUCCUUUGCUGACGAUCAUUGGUAUGAUAAUUAUCUAUAUCAUUGAGAAACAGCCUCCCUAGUGGAGAGGUUCCGCUUCUAAUCGUCUUUAUAAGACAACUUGACAACUUUGACCUCAAAUCAGGUAGGACUACCCGCUGAACUUAA